rnacentral:lncRNA from 1 species
UUUGUAAUAACUGAGGGCUUAGCUGCAAUAUAGCAUAAUAAGAAUUACCUUUGAUAUACUUUUCACUUAAUUACAAAUUCAAGGGAUGGAGGCUCCUCGCGCACACAGCUGAUACACGACAUAUCUGGUGUUCGACCUAAGAUCUGGUUGUCUAUUCCUUCACAACGAUGAUGGCAGUAAAUAAAUAGCGGCAGAUGGCCAAUGGGGGUUCCAACGGUAAUUGACCACUUAGUGUUCUAAAGGAGGUAGCAAAGGGUUCUCACGAUGGCCCUCUUUUUUCUUUUAAUUAUUUAUUUAUUUAUUCUUUUUCCCUUAUAAAAAAACUUGCAAUUAAAGUAACGUCAAGUGAUUAACAGUGAUCAGCUAGGAACAAUAUUUUUUUUGAAUCUGAAUUUGGAUAAAUUUUUGCUCGGCUUGCUACAGCAGGGAACAUAUUAAGGUGGUGAUGGGUUUGGGUUUGGGUUUGGGUUUGGAAUUGGAAUUGGGUGUAGAGACAAGUCAGGGUGGUGGAAAUCAAAUAACGUCAAGUUUAGUUCUGAUACUAAUUUAAUGCAUGACAUGGUGUAGAAUUUAGGAAAGGAAUAAAGGAAGAAGAAAGAAGGGGAAAUGGGGAGAAUCAUUAUGCCUGAAGGCCACUAUUUUGUCUCAAAUCAGUAUUCAGCCCUGUAUUUUAACGAUGUAGAUUACACCACUUUAUAUAGAGUACAGAAAUCCCUAAUUCUUAUAUAACAUAGAAACCUAAUUAUAUGAACUCUUAAAAAGAUAUACUACCAUUAUCUAUCUAAAAAUGAACUAAUUACAAUUAAUUUUAAACGAUAUAAAAUUAUUUAAUUAGGGAUAAAGUGUCCUAUGUUAGAGCGGAAUGCUAUUAAUCCUACUGGAAGGAUGUCUUGAGGACUGAUCCUCACCCAGGAAGGGAAAGGAUUAGGUCCCAAGAGCCUUUGGAUUUGUCUACAUCAUCAAAUAGCAGGGAAUACAAACGGAGAAUAGACCAUCCAUAUCGGCCUUAGGGAAAUGUGCAAGAGGACUGUCGCAAUAUUGAUAUGAACAGACCCCCUCGCCCUAGGAGGAGGGAUGGUCAAAUGGAACUAUGAGCAUUGUCCCCAGUCAGAAAGCAUGAGUGAAGGGUUCCCCUGUGAUCCGAGACAAAUCUGGUCAACCCUUUAAAUCAUCAACCACCGUAUGUGCCCCAGCUAUACCUACUGUAACUAUAAGAUAUAUUACUAUUAUCUAACUAAUAUAACCUGAUUAUAAUUAAUUUACCCUUAAAUAACAAUAUCAAAUAGUUUAAUAAAAAUUGUUCGCUGUUUGUAAUAGUCUUCAUGUCCUGUUUUACAUCAUCUUUGGACUUUCUUUGAAACUCAGAUUGCAUUCAAUUAUAUUUUCUUUCAAAUGUACGUUCAGCUGUUGAUAUCUUUAAUUUUUUUUUCUGCAGAACUUUGUUACACACAGAAUACUCGUGCGACCUUCAGGUCUGAAUGCCAUAAAAUUAUUGCUUAUUUUUCCAUUCACUAAUUACUGUAUUAUUAGUAUUUUUUAAAAAAAAUUGUUUUUAUCAUUACAGAUGAUGAUAAUAAGCAUCCAAGUAACCCAACCUUUUUGUCUGAGUGGUUGUUGCCAUCACUUAGUGUAACAGACAAAUUUACCGUCAGAGAUGUAUGUUAAAGAACAUUCUUAAAUAAUUGAAUUUUGAGUUUCUUAUCAGCUAUUGAUUGUUGCGUUCUCUAAUAUGCAGAAUGGUAUCUUUAUUGUGUCCUGAAGAUGUGGUGACGUGGAAGAGAUUUUGCUUCUUGUUUCUUGAUCUCUCAUGACACUGGGACUUGUUCUUUGAAUAAACUACCUUGUGAUAACAUGGUCGGUUUUGUUCUUUGUAUAAUCUGUCUCAUGGUAACACCACAUGUGAUACUUAAUUUGCUUUCAAAUUUUCUCUUUCCUUUUUCUUAAUCAAUACGAUAUUAUAUGUUACCAGAUAAUGACGAUAUAACCUUUUUCUUGGUUGCUAACCCCUUCCCACCCGAAAAUUAUACUUUAAUAUGGACUACAGUUUGUUUACCUUUCUAAGGUAACAUUAGUGUUUGAAAAUGAUGUGUCAUCA